CUCCAUUAUCAUCAUGAUGAGGUGCUUAAUGAAUGUUUUAAUUUGCCUUCAUACUGCUCCUAUGGGUAUAUAUAAACCAUGCAUUAUCAAAGUUUGAACAUACGCUACCUCAGCACUAGUGGAGCAUCCCUCCAACUCCUCCUCCUCCUCCUCCUUCACUGAGUUAGCUAUGACACUAGCUAGCUAAUUUACAGCUGAAUUUGCAUGCAUCCACAUGCAGGCGCAAAUUGUUGGCUUAGGUUUCAAGACUUUACAAUUGCCGGUUCAUGGAGAAUCAAAUAAUGAGCUCCAGGUGAAUAUCGCAGUUACUGGAGGCAGACGUUGAAACAUAGUCAUCCUGAGGCGCCAUUUCCUGCUUCGUGGAUCCAUUU